rnacentral:rRNA from 1 species
AUUGAACGCUGGCGGCAUGCUUUACACAUGCAAGUCGAACGGUAACAGGGUGCUUGCACCGCUGACGAGUGGCGAACGGGUGAGUAAUGCGUCGGAACGUGCCGAGUAGUGGGGGAUAACGCAGCGAAAGUUGUGCUAAUACCGCAUACGUACUGAGGUAGAAAGUGGGGGACCUUCGGGCCUCACGCUAUUCGAGCGGCCGACGUCUGAUUAGCUAGUAGGUGAGGUAAAGGCUCACCUAGGCGACGAUCAGUAGCGGGUCUGAGAGGAUGAUCCGCCACACUGGGACUGAGACACGGCCCAGACUCCUACGGGAGGCAGCAGUGGGGAAUUUUGGACAAUGGGCGAAAGCCUGAUUCAGCCAUGCCGCGUGUCUGAAGAAGGCCUUCGGGUUGUAAAGGACUUUUGUCGGGGAGGAAAUCCCCAGCGUUAAUACCGCUGUGGGAUGACAGUACCUGAAGAAUAAGCACCGGCUAACUACGUGCCAGCAGCCGCGGUAA